UUCGUAGGUGGCAUGUUAAGUCUGGUGUUAAAGCCCGAAGCUCAACUUCGGUUAGGCACUGGAUACUGGCAAGCUUGAAUGCGGUAGAGGUAAAGGGAAUUCCUGGUGUAGCGGUGAAAUGCGUAGAUAUCAGGAGGAACAUCGGUGGCGUAAGCGCUUUACUGGGCCGUAAUUGGCACUGAGGAACGAAAGCCGGGGUAGCAAAUGGGAUUAGAUACCCCAGUAGUCCCGGCCGUAAACGAUGGAUACUAGGUGUUGCGGGUAUCGACCCCUGCAGUGCCGUAGCUAACGCGAUAAGUAUCCCGCCUGGGGAGUACGCACGCAAGUGUGAA
rnacentral:rRNA from 1 species